rfam:Canis lupus familiaris chromosome 9, whole genome shotgun sequence.
GUGCUGGCUCCAGCAGCACCUAUACUAAAAUUACAAUGAUACAGAGAAGAUCAACAUGGCUCCUGUGCAAGGAUGACAUGAAAAUUCAUGAAGCAUUCCACAUAAAA